rnacentral:rRNA from 1 species
AUUGAACGCUGGCGGCAGGCCUAACACAUGCAAGUCGAGCGGAGCGGCGGACGGGUGAGUAAUACCUAUGAAUCUGCCUGGUAGUGGGGGAUAACGUUCGGAAACGGACGCUAAUACCGCAUACUAUCAGAUGAGCCUAGGUCGGAUUAGCUAGUUGGUGGGGGAAUGGCGCACCAAGGCUACGAUCCGUAACUGGUCUGAGAGGAUGAUCAGUCACACUGGAACUGAGAAACGGUCCAGACUCCGACGGGAGGCAGCAGUGGGGAAUAGUGGACAAUGGGCGAAAGCCUGAUGCAGCCAUGCCGCGUGUGUGAAGAAGGUCUUCGGAUUGUAAAGCACUUUAAGGUGGGAGGCGUUACCGACAGAAUAAGCACCGGCUAACUCUGUGCCAGCAGCCGCGGUAAUUC